rnacentral:rRNA from 1 species
UACGGGGGGGGCAAGCGUUGUUCGGAAUUACUGGGCGUAAAGGGUCUGUAGGUGGCCAACUAAGUCAGACGUGAAAUCCCUCAGCUUAACUGGGGAACUGCGUCUGAGACUGGAUGGCUUGAGUGCAGGAGAGGAACGCGGAAUUCCAGGUGUAGCGGUGAAAUGCGUAGAUAUCUGGAGGAACACCGGUGGCGAAGGCGGCGUUCUGGACUGCAACUGACACUGAGGAACGAAAGCCAGGGGAGCAAACGGG